CUGGCUCAGGAUGAACGCUGGCGGCGUGCUUAACACAUGCAAGUCGAACGAAGCUCCUUGAACUGAAGAUUCGUCUGAUGGGAUAGGAAGACUUAGUGGCGGACGGGUGAGUAACGCGUGGGUAACCUGCCGUAUACAGGGGGAUAACAGUUAGAAAUGACUGCUAAUACCGCAUAAGCGCACAGUGAGGCAUCUCACAGUGUGAAAAAACUCCGGUGGUAUACGAUGGACCCGCGUCUGAUUAGCCAGUUGGCAGGGUAACGGCCUACCAAAGCGACGAUCAGUAGCCGGCCUGAGAGGGUGAACGGCCACAUUGGGACUGAGACACGGCCCAAACUCCUACGGGAGGCAGCAGUGGGGAAUAUUGCACGAUGGGGGAAACCCUGAUGCAAGCGACGCCGCGUGAGUGAAGAAGCAUUUCGGUGCGUAAAGCUCUAUCAGCAGGGAAGAAAAUGACGGUACCUGACUAAGAAGCCCCGGCUAACUACGUGCCAGCCGCUGC
rnacentral:rRNA from 1 species